rnacentral:pre_miRNA from 1 species
CACGGGGAGGGGGGUCCCUCAGCCUGGAUUGCGAGAGGGUGCAAGCCAGGCCGAGGGACCCCACCAGUGUACA